AUUGAACGCUGGCGGCAUGCCUUACACAUGCAAGUCGAACGGCAGCACGGGUGCUUGCACCUGGUGGCGAGUGGCGAACGGGUGAGUAAUACAUCGGAACGUACCUUAUCGUGGGGGAUAACGCAGCGAAAGCUGUGCUAAUACCGCAUACGCCCUGAGGGGGAAAGCGGGGGAUCGAAAGACCUCGCGCGAUUAGAGCGGCCGAUGCCUGAUUAGCUUGUUGGUGGGGUAAAAGCCCACCAAGGCGACGAUCAGUAGCUGGUCUGAGAGGACGGUCAGCCACACUGGGACUGAGAAACGGCCCAGACUCCUACGGGAGGCAGCAGUGGGGAAUUUUGGACAAUGGGGGCAACCCUGAUCCAGCAAUGCCGCGUGAGUGAAGAAGGCCUUCGGGUUGUAAAGCUCUUUUGUCAGGGAAGAAGCACCGGCUCUAACACAGUCCGGGAAUGACGGUACCUGAAGAAUAAGCACCGGCUAACUACGUGCCAGCCGCCGCCGUAA
rnacentral:rRNA from 1 species